rnacentral:rRNA from 1 species
GACGUAGGGCGCGAGCGUUGUCCGGAUUUAUUGGGCGUAAAGAGCUCGUAGGCGGCUUGUCGCGUCGACCGUGAAAACUUGGGGCUCAACCCCAAGCCUGCGGUCGAUACGGGCAGGCUCGAGUUCGGUAGGGGAGACGUGGAAUUCCUGGUGUAGCGGUGGAAAUGCGCAGAUAUCAGGAGGAACACCGAUGGCGAAGGCAGAUCUCUGGGCCGUAACUGACGCUGAGGAGCGAAAGCAUGGGGAGCGAACAGG